UAGACCACUCUGGGAUUACUCUUUCCAGACUUCUGGUUGUGUGAGAGAAUCAAAUGCUUUUAUUAUUGAAGACCCUGUUGGGAAUUCAGUUUAUUGCAGCUGACCAAGUCCUACUGAUACAGAUGGGGGAAACUGAGGAAACACCAGGUUCAUGUCCCCGGGAGUGGCUGUCAGCAAGUUGCCUGCCAGGUGUUCUAAUUUGGAAGAGCAGCUCUCUUGAGGGUUGGAGAAAAGCCCAGAUUUGGUAGCAUGGCAAGUUCAAGCCUAGCCAGUGAGGAAACUGACAUUCGGAGAGGUCAUGCCACCUGUAGAAAUGACCAAAUAUUUCUGGAGCGAGGACUCAAACUCAGGUCAUCUGGAAUCCUACUCCAUUGAUAAGGAAGGAGAAAUACACAUGUGGAUAAAGGAGCAAGAGAAGCUCUUCCCGAAGUCAUUUCAUUAGCUUGAAAGCAAUGAAGACAACCUCACAACAGGCUGCAUGUGUGUGGAGCGAGCCCCAACUUCGAAUCACAAAGAUCUGGAUUCUGCAUUUGGUCUGAUUAUUUCUUGGUAUGUUAGCAUACCAAGCAUACCACAUCUUGGGCAGGUUUCUUAACCACAAUGUUCUUAGUUUUCUCAAAUGUAAGAUAAGGGUAAUGAUAUCUACUUUAUAGAGUUGAAAGCAUCGAAUAAGACAGUGUAUGUAAACUACUUAAGACUGCCUGGGAUAUAGUAGGUGCUCCAAACUUCUGUAAAACCAAGAUUAAAUUUUCCAUCCCUUGGUUCUUCCAGCCUCCAUGUCCACCCAUCUACCACAUGCAGCUCAGAAACCAAAGUGCUGCUUUAGUUGAAAGUGACAUGUGGCCUGGGACAUUGGCUGUCUCAGUGGUCACCAGUCAGCUGGGUGAGUCAUGGCCAGCAGAAUUUCUGCUGCUUUGGGUAAGAUAACUUGCAGCUGGGGAGGCACAGAAGUGGCUUUGUGGCAUCAGUGACAUUUGGGCUGGUCCCUAAGGAUGGUUAGGAUUUAGACUCACGCUCUAGGCCAGCAAGGUCUCAUUAAACUUUCUGCAGUGAUGGAAAUGUGCUAUCAUCUGCGCUGUCUACAAUGUGUGGCUAUUGAGCACUGGCAAUGUGGCCAGUGUGACUGAGGAGAGAAUUUUAAAUUUAAUUUUAAUUAAUUUAGACAGCCACAGGUGGCCAGUGGCUAUGGUAUUGGGCAGGACAGGACUUAAAGGGCUAGGCAGAGGAAACAGCGAAAGUAAAGUGACAGAAAAGGAAAACCAUGAGGACAGGCGUGGGUGUGGCACAUGUUUUAGUUUGGCUGCAGCCCAACCUUUAUGAAGGACACUGAUUGUACCGGUAACGGGAGAGGGACAUGUAGCAAACACUCGUAGUCAGGGUGAAGAGUUUCAAUGUUCUUUUCCAAGCCGUGGAAGCUGGGGCAGGUCUGUGAGCAAAGGAAUUACAGCAUGCUGCUCUACAUCAGAGCGACUCAUCUGGCAGGAGGCAGGGGAGUGUAGUCCCUGAUUGGACCACAUAGAAGCUGGAAAUGGAAGCCCUUGAAAGUGUUGCUGCAAAAACCCCAGGUGAAGCUCUCCCUGCAUCUGGGCACCGUAUGAACGGCUCUGCCUGGAUUAUCCUGUGUUAUUCCAAGGCAGGUGCUACCAAGAGAUCCAUUUGCAGACCAGGAAAUGGGUUUACCAUCCGUGAAGUUACAUAUCCUCAAGUAAGUACAGAAAUACAAAUUUGAACCCUGGCCUGUUGGAUUCCAAAGACCAAAAAAGAAAGUAUCGAA